rnacentral:tRNA from 1 species
GCCCAGAUGGUGGAAUGGUAGACACGAAGGACUCAAAAUCCUUUGCCUUAACAGCGUGCGGGUUCAAGUCCCGCUCUGGGCACCA